rnacentral:tRNA from 2 species
GGGCCCUUAACUCAGUUGGUAGAGUGCCUGCUUUGCAAGCAGGAUGUCGGGAGUUCGAUUCUCCCAGGGUCCACCA